GACAUCUUGGUGAAAACAUUUAAUGCUCAAAUGUGUUUGAAAAGUUCUUUGGGUUGAUCGAAUGGGUUUAUGAAGCCUUGUCACAGUCUGGUUUUCAACCUGCCUGCUACUAACCUUCUCUCACCUCUAAGAUGCGCUAGAGCUGGAGAUCGGAGAGUGUGACAGGUGCAUAUUGUUGCCUCAUCAGCUGGAGGACUAUAUGAGGGUGGCUCGCUGGCACUUCUACGCCUGAGUGUUUUGCCUGCUGCGGGCGUUCAUGCCGAGCCGCCGAGUUGGGAAUUCCUCUCUAGAAGACCCUUCUGUUGAAUCUGGACUCUGGGUUGUUUCUGGUCUGGCAGAUGCCCUUGGGAGCCCUCCAGGCUGUUUAAGCACCACCUGUCCACCCACCUUUGGCUUACCUGGACCAUUGGAACGCUCCAGCCAGCACAGGAACACGUUCCAGACUCGCACCUGUCUCUCCCCCGGCGGAUGGAUCUCCACCGGGACACCUGACGACCAGCCUGCUUCGCUCUUCACAUCCCUUUUUCUGAAUCGAGUAAUAAAACUUUGAGUUUACGCUUCUCUGUCUGAGUGUUCUCUGCAUGUGGGUCAAGUCAGCCUUAAAAACAAUGACAAAACACUCAGGCCUGCCGGACCCAGCAGAAGCACUCCAGAGAACUGUGUCUGAACACGGCCAUCUAAUCUAGGCACAUGGUUCGACCCUCCGCUCCCUCCUCGA